UGCAUGCUCACCUUAGUGUUGCUGGUCCCAGAGACUGGGCAUUGUUGGGAGGAAAUACGGACACAAACAGACUCAUAGCUAUUCAUAUGCAUGUGGCAGGCACAGAAACAGUGGCUUGCUGAGUAGCUAGAAAUAGGGACUCAUACACUCUGCGUCAGCAGGGAGACAGGGAGAGAAGAAGCUUGUAUGGGAAGGAUGAAUCAGUUUCCUCAGGAAAGACAGAUAGGCUCAUACAGGAGCAGAACCGAAGGGCGCCGAACCAAGUAGAAAGUGUGUAGCGAAGUGUGUCUGCAGAACGGGUAGAAAGUGUGUGAUGAUGUGUGUCUUGAGAAUGGAGUAGAAAGUGCGUAACAAUGUGUGUCUAUAGAACAGGGUAGAAAGUGCGUGGUGACAUGUGUCUGCAGAACGGAUAUAAAGUGUGUGGUGAUAUGUCUCUGAAGAAUGGGUAGAAAGUGCGUGGUGACGUGUGUCUGUAGAACAGGGUAGAAGGUACGUGGCGAACGUGUGGCUACAGAAUGGGUAGAAACUGCUUGAUGACGUGUGUCUGUAGAACGGGGUAGAAAGUGCGUGAUGACAUGUCUGUAGAAUGGAAAGUGCGUGAUGACGUGUGUCUGUAGAACAGGUGGAAAGUGCGUGAUGACGUGUCUGUAGAACAGGUGGAAAGUGCAUGAUGACGUGUGUCUGUAGAACGGGUGGAAAGUGCGUGAUGACAUGUGUCUGUAGAACGGGUGGAAAGUGCGUGAUGACGUGUGUCUGUAGAACGGGUGGAAAGUGCGUGAUGACGUGUGUCUGUAGAACGGGUGGAAAGUGCGUGAUGACGUGUCUGUAGAACGGGUGGAAAGUGCGUGAUGACGUGUGUCUGUAGAACGGGUGGAAAGUGCGUGAUGAUGU
rnacentral:lncRNA from 1 species